CCUUUACUGUAGCUUUGUAUUGGACUUUGAACAGAUCUGUGUAGGAUAGGUGGGAGGCUUUGAAGCAGUGUCGCUAGAUCUUGUGGAGCCAACGUUGAAAUACCACCCUGGUGUGUUUGAGGUUCUAACCUAGGUCCAUUAUCUGGAUCGGGGACAGUGCAUGGUAGGCAGUUUGACUGGGGCGGUCUCCUCCCAAAGCGUAACGGAGGAGUUCGAAGGUACGCUAGUACGGUCGGACAUCGUGACGAUAGUGCAAUGGCAUAAGCGUGCUUAACUGCGAGACUGACAAGUCGAGCAGAUGCGAAAGCAGGACAUAGUGAUCCGGUGGUUCUGUAUGGAAGGGCCAUCGCUCAACGGAUAAAAGGUA
rnacentral:rRNA from 1 species